UGCCAGCCGCCGCGGUAAUACGGAGGGUGCAAGCGUUAUCCGGAUUCAUUGGGUUUAAAGGGUGCGCAGGCGGACCUGUCAGUCAGUGGUGAAAUCCCGGGGCUCAACUCCGGAACUGCCAUUGAUACUACAGGUCUUGAAUACGGUUGAAGUAGGCGGAAUGUAGCAUGUAGCGGUGAAAUGCAUAGAUAUGCUACAGAACACCGAUCGCGAAGGCAGCUUACUAAGCCGAUAUUGACGCUCAGGCACGAAAGCGUGGGUAGCGAACAGGAUUAGAUA
rnacentral:rRNA from 1 species